rnacentral:rRNA from 1 species
GAUGAACGCUGGCGGCGUGCCUAAUACAUGCGAGUCGAGCGAACAGAUAAGGAGCUUGCUCCUUUGACGUUAGCGGCGGACGGGUGAGUAACACGUGGGUAACCUACCUAUAAGACUGGGAUAACUUCGGGAAACCGGAACUAAUACCGGAUAAUAUUUCGAACCGCAUGGUUCGAUAGUGAAAGAUGGUUUUGCUAUCACUUAUAGAUGGACCCGCGCCGUAUUAGCUAGUUGGUAAGGUAACGGCUUACCAAGGCGACGAUACGUAGCCGACCUGAGAGGGUGAUCGGCCACACUGGAACUGAGACACGGUCCAGACUCCUACGGGAGGCAGCAGUAGGGAAUCUUCCGCAAUGGGCGAAAGCCUGACGGAGCAACGCCGCGUGAGUGAUGAAGGUCUUCGGAUCGUAAAACUCUGUUAUUAGGGAAGAACAUACGUGUAAGUAACUGUGCACGUCUUGACGGUACCUAAUCAGAAAGCCACGGCUAACUACGUG